rnacentral:rRNA from 1 species
GGUCCAGACUCCUACGGGAGGCAGCAGUGGGGAAUAUUGCACAAUGGGCGCAAGCCUGAUGCAGCCAUGCCGCGUGUAUGAAGAAGGCCUUCGGGUUGUAAAGUACUUUCAGCGGGGAGGAAGGUGCUGAGGUUAAUAACCUCAGCAAUUGACGUUACCCGCAGAAGAAGCACCGGCUAACUCCGUGCCAGCAGCCGCGGUAAUACGGAGGGUGCAAGCGUUAAUCGGAAUUACUGGGCGUAAAGCGCGCGCAGGCGGUUUGUUAAGUCAGAUGUGAAAUCCCCGGGCUCAACCGGGGAACUGCAUCUGAUACUGGCAAGCUUGAGUCUCGUAGAGGGGGGUAGAAUUCCAGGUGUAGCGGUGAAAUGCGUAGAGAUCUGGAGGAAUACCGGUGGCGAAGGCGGCCCCCUGGACGAAGACUGACGCUCAGGUGCGAAAGCGUGGGGAGCAAACAGGAUUAGAUACCCGUGUACG